CGUAUCACCCAAGACAACUUUACGGAGUUGACGAUUGACGGAGCGAAGCGACGUCAAAGCGUUCAUUAAAGUCGAGUUGGCUUAGGGAUACGUUCGUUGGGUAGGGGAGCGUUCUGUAAGCCUGUGAAGGUGUGUCGUGAGGCAUGCUGGAGGUAUCAGAAGUGCGAAUGCUGACAUAAGUAACGAUAAAGCGGGUGAAAAGCCCGCUCGCCGGAAGACCAAGGGUUCCUGUCCAACGUUAAUCGGGGCAGGGUGAGUCGACCCCUAAGGCGAGGCCGAAAGGCGUAGUCGAUGGGAAACGGGUUAAUAUUCCCGUACUUGGUGUUACUGCGAAGGGGGGACGGAGAAGGCUAUGUUGGCCGGGCGACGGUUGUCCCGGUUUAAGCGUGUAGGUGUGUGUUCCAGGUAAAUCCGGUUCACUUUAACACUGAGGCGUGACGACGAGGCACUACGGUGCUGAAGCAACAAAUGCCCUGCUUCCAGGAAAAGCCUCUAAGCAUCAGGUAACACGAAAUCGUACCCCAAACCGACACAGGUGGUCAGGUAGAGAAUACCAAGGCGCUUGAGAGAACUCGGGUGAAGGAACUAGGCAAAAUGGUGCCGUAACUUCGGGAGAAGGCACGCUGACACGUAGGUGAAGUGAUUUACUCAUGGAGCUGAAGUCAGUCGAAGAUACCAGCUGGCUGCAACUGUUUAUUAAAAACACAGCACUGUGCAAACACGAAAGUGGACGUAUACGGUGUGACGCCUGCCCGGUGCCGGAAGGUUAAUUGAUGGGGUCAGCGUAAGCGAAGCUCCUGAUCGAAGCCCCGGUAAACGGCGGCCGUAACUAUAACGGUCCUAAGGUAGCGAAAUUCCUUGUCGGGUAAGUUCCGACCUGCACGAAUGGCGUAAUGAUGGCCAGGCUGUCUCCACCCGAGACUCAGUGAAAUUGAACUCGCUGUGAAGAUGCAGUGUACCCGCGGCAAGACGGAAAGACCCCGUGAACCUUUACUAUAGCUUGACACUGAACAUUGAGCCUUGAUGUGUAGGAUAGGUGGGAGGCUUUGAAGUGUGGACGCCAGUCUGCAUGGAGCCGACCUUGAAAUACCACCCUUUAAUGUUUGAUGUUCUAACGUGGACCCGUAAUCCGGGUUGCGGACAGUGUCUGGUGGGUAGUUUGACUGGGGCGGUCUCCUCCUAAAGAGUAACGGAGGAGCACGAAGGUUGGCUAAUCCUGGUCGGACAUCAGGAGGUUAGUGCAAUGGCAUAAGCCAGCUUGACUGCGAGCGUGACGGCGCGAGCAGGUGCGAAAGCAGGUCAUAGUGAUCCGGUGGUUCUGAAUGGAAGGGCCAUCGCUCAACGGAUAAAAGGUACUCCGGGGAUAACAGGCUGAUAC
rnacentral:rRNA from 1 species